AUGAAGUACCCUCACAAGUUAUCGGUUCUUAGCAUAACCACGCUUAUUUCUGAGGAAUAAUGUGCCAAGCAAAAUUUCGGAACCCAGUUCCUUAUUAGCCUUGGGAUGCAAGUUAGAUGACAUUGCUUUGUUAGAAGAACUUUUGUCUUGAUUGUUGCUUGGUUGUUUUGUUUCCACUCGAUAGGAUCUUCCUGACUUCACAGGUUCAAUGAUGGGACACACAGCUGGAAGUGAAUGCCAGACGAAUCCACAGCUUAGGAGUCCAAAAGAUGGCUGUGACAGUAAUGGAGCCGGGAGCUUGCCUCGAUUGGCAGCUUAUUCUUCAAUCACUAAUUUCCACAACCGGGUUCUGCAGCAGAUGGUCCAAAGGCUGCAGAUCGAGAGUGCAGAAUCGAAAUUCUUGAUCUUAGAUAUCCACACGGCCUUCACUUCCACCCUCAAGCACGAGAAAACGCUGCAGGGAGUUCAAUAAAUCCUUUGAAACCUUGCUGGUUUGGAUCGGGAAAAGGUCCUUCGUGUGAGAGCACGGAUGAGAAAGGGGCAAGGAAGCACGAGUAGUGCAAGGACCCCGAGCUGUCUUUCUUGUGGGACUUGAUACAUCCUUCACAGAGUGGAUGGAAAGUCCGUUUGUUCUAUUAUUCAACCUUCUCUUUACAAACUCUAUUAGAACAGAGACAGCUCUCUCGAUCUUAUUUUGUUCCCGAGCAGUUUUUGAUAUUAGGAAAUCCCUAAGAUUAAGUAUUGAACAUUUUGUGCUUGGCAGCAGAGAAUCCUAUAAAGAAAUAUGAAUGCCCAAACUCUCGUGUUCACUGGUAAAACCGCGAAUAAAUCACGUUCUGCUGUGAAA